GAUGAACGCUGGCGGCGUGCCUAAUACAUGCAAGUCGAGCGAACGGACGAGAAGCUUUCUUCUCUGAUGUUAGCGGCGGACGGGUGAGUAACACGUGGAUAACCUACCUAUAAUACUGGGAUAACUUCGGGAAACCGUAUCUAAUACCGGAUAAUAUUUUGAACCGCAUGGUUCAAGAGUUAAAGACGGUCUUGCUGUCACUUAUAGAUGGAUCCGCGCUGCAUUAGCUAGUUGGUAAGGUAACGGCUUACCAAGGCAACGAUGCAUAGCCGACCUGAGAGGGUGAUCGGCCACACUGGAACUGAGACACGGUCCAGACUCCUACGGGAGGCAGCAGUAGGGAAUAUUCCGCAAUGGGCGAAAGCCUGACGGAGCCACGCCGCGUGAGUGAUGAAGGUCUUCGGAUCGUAAAACUCUGUUAUUAGGGAAGAACAUAUGUGUAAGUAACUGUGCACAUCUUGACGGUACCUAAACAGAAAGCCCCGGCUAACUACGUG
rnacentral:rRNA from 1 species